CGUCUGAAUGUGGACGUUCAAUAUUGAAUGUGCCCUGAUCAGCAGUAAAGCAUAUGUGGCCACAGGGAAGAGCCAGACUACCAAAGCCUAGCUCUCCAUUGUCUCUCACUCUGAACAAAACCAGCCAGGGCCUCUUCCCCCCAUGUGGAUGAGACCGGGCUGAAGAGAGAGCAGAGAGGGGCAGUGCCUGGGUGGAUGUAAGUUAGAAGAUGAUGACUGAAGAAGAGACUACUUUCCUGUGAUGUCAUCAUGACAGCUGUCAAAGAAGUGACUGUUUGGCCUGAUUUCAGAACUAUGUUUUUCAUACGCCAUCAUCUGUGGCAAAUCUUUAAUGCACCACCCAAUGCUCUUAAUUAUAUAGCCUCAAAAAAAUAUUUUGAUGUUACUCUAUCUGUUGAUGUUACAGGACUCACAUGAGAGGAUCAUGUCCAGACAAGACCAAGAGGAAAAACUCACUAUUACAGACUGGUACAGUAUGUGUGUGACUCUCCAGCAGCAGGAGCUGAGGCUGUCUGAGGGCUCUUACAGGCCUCCAGGCCAAGCCCAGUCCUUCCUGGCCCAGCAGAGGCAGUCCACCCAGGCCAGGAGCAGGAGAGGCAUGGGGCUCUCUCCCAAGCUACAGCCCAGAUAGGAGGGGAGAUGGAGGGAGAGGUCCCUCUGUUGAGGGUGGUGGGAUUGACACUGGAUGGACAAGGAACGUUGGAAGAGGAUGUUGAUGGGAUUUUUGUGGCUGUUUAAAAAAAUCUUGGAUGUUAAAAAACAUAUUUUAUGUAACAUUGGCGCCACCUGCUGGUCAAAUGGUAUUGGUGUUCGUUUUUUGUCCAUCUCAGUUUGAAUCUAAAAGUUAAAGGAAUAGAUAGGACAAUAAAGGAACAUCACUAUUACAAUGUGUUGCCAAUGGAUUUUUGCGCUUGAAUAAAAUAUCAACAUGACUUACAG
ensembl:lncRNA